rnacentral:rRNA from 1 species
UGGGGAAUUUUGGACAAUGGGGGAAACCCUGAUCCAGCCAUCCCGCGUGUGCGAUGAAGGCCUUCGGGUUGUAAAGCACUUUUGGCAGGAAAGAAACGUCAUGGGUUAAUACCCCGUGAAACUGACGGUACCUGCAGAAUAAGCACCGGCUAACUACGUGCCAGCAGCCGCGGUAAUACGUAGGGUGCAAGCGUUAAUCGGAAUUACUGGGCGUAAAGCGUGCGCAGGCGGUUCGGAAAGAAAGAUGUGAAAUCCCAGAGCUCAACUUUGGAACUGCAUUUUGAACUACCGGGCUAGAGUGUGUCAGAGGGAGGUGGAAUUCCGCGUGUAGCGGUGAAAUGCGUAGAUAUGCGGAGGAACACCGAUGGCGAAGGCAGCCUCCUGGGAUAACACUGACGCUCAUGCACGAAAGCGUGGGGAGCAAACAGG